GACGAACGCUGGCGGCGUGCCUAAUACAUGCAAGUAGAACGCUGACGGAGGAGCUUGCUUCUCUGGAUGAGUUGCGAACGGGUGAGUAACGCGUAGGUAACCUGCCUGGUAGCGGGGGAUAACUAUUGGAAACGAUAGCUAAUACCGCAUAAGAGUAGAUGUUGCAUGACAUUUGCUUAAAAGGUGCAAUUGCAUCACUACCAGAUGGCCCGGCGUUGUAUUAGCUAGUUGGGGGGGUACCGGCCCACAAAGGCGACGCUACAUAGCCGACCUGAGAGGGUGACCGCCAAAAUUGGAACGGGGAACCGCCCAAGCCUCUUAGGGGAGCAGCAGUAGGGGAUCAUCGGAAAUGGACGGAAGUCUGACCGAGCAACGCCGCGGGAGUGGAGAAGGGUCUCGGGUCGUAAAGCUCUGUUGGUAGAGAAGAAAGAGUAUCAGAUUGGAAAGUUCACACUGUGACGGUAUCUAAACAGAAAGGAACGGCUAACUACGUG
rnacentral:rRNA from 1 species